rnacentral:rRNA from 1 species
GUGCCAGCCGCCGCGGUAAUACGUAGGUGACAAGCGUUAUCCGGAUUUACUGGGCGUAAAGGGAGCGUAGGCGGAUAAUUAAGUGGGAUGUGAAAUACCCGGGCUCAACCUGGGUGCUGCAUUCCAAACUGGUUAUCUAGAGUGCAGGAGAGGAGAGUGGAAUUCCUAGUGUAGCGGUGAAAUGCGUAGAGAUUAGGAAGAACACCAGUGGCGAAGGCGACUCUCUGGACUGUAACUGACGCUGAGGCUCGAAAGCGUGGGGAGCAAACAGGAUUAGAUACCCCCGUAGUCC